AUUGAACGCUGGCGGCAGGCCUAACACAUGCAAGUCGAGCGGAUGAAGGGAGCUUGCUUCUGGAUUCAGCGGCGGACGGGUGAGUAAUGCCUAGGAAUCUGCCUGGUAGUGGGGGACAACGUUUCGAAAGGAGCGCUAAUACCGCAUACGUCCUACGGGAGAAAGCAGGGGACCUUCGGGCCUUGCGCUAUCAGAUGAGCCUAGGCCGGAUUAGCUAGUUGGUGAGGUAAUGGCUCACCAAGGCGACGAUCCGUAACUGGUCUGAGAGGAUGAUCAGUCACACUGGAACUGAGACACGGUCCAGACUCCUACGGGAGGCAGCAGUGGGGAAUAUCGGACAAUGGGCGAAAGCCUGAUCCAGCCAUGCCGCGUGUGUGAAGAAGGUCUUCGGAUUGUAAAGCACUUUAAGUUGGGAGGAAGGGUUGUAGAUUAAUACUCUGCAAUUUUGACGUUACCGACAGAAUAAGCACCGGCUAACUCUGUGCCAGCAGCCGCCGUAAUAC
rnacentral:rRNA from 1 species